UCCCUGAUGUCUCAGAUGGUAAAGAAUCUGCCUGCAAUGCAGGAGGCCUGGGUUCUAUCUCUGGGUCAGGAAG
rfam:TPA: Bos taurus chromosome 13, whole genome shotgun sequence.